CCGACAAAUGCCGCCCCAUGCUCCACGGCGCCCAGUCCCAUGGACCGCCCAAGGGCUGAGGAGUGUGAGCGCACGGCACGGGACUGGCAGGCAGCUCCACCUGCAGCCCUUGGUGCGGGAUCCACUAGGUGAAGCCAGCUGGGCUCAUGAGUCUGGUGGGGACGUGGAGAUUCUUUAUAUCUAGCUCAGGGAUUGUAAAUACACCAAUCAGCACCCUGUGUUUAGCUCAAGGUUUGUGAAUGCACCAAUCUACACUCUGUAUCUAGCUGCUCUGGUGGGGCCUUGGAGAACCUGUGUGUCAAAACUCUGUAUCUAACUAAUCUGAUGGGGACGUGGAGAACCUUUGUAUCUAGCUCAGGGAUUGUAAACGCACCAAUCAGCGUCCUGUCAAAACAGGCCACUCGGCUCUACCAAUCAGCAGGAUGUGGGUGGGGCCAGAUAAGAGAAUAAAAGCA
rnacentral:lncRNA from 10 species